GGGCAUAUCUCCUUUGGCACUUUGGAGUCCUUGAUUGAUUCCUAUUAUCCUGGCGGGCAAAUCUUCUUUGGCAUCAGAUCUCUGGUUUCAGUAGUUGAGAUAAUCUUCCGGAGAUACUGAAUAUCUGUGACAAAAAAAUUUAAUCAAUCAUAAAUAUAUAUUUGUAUUAUACACAUCUAUCCAUUGAAGCUAUCAUCAGCAUACUUGUUGCGAUCACUGUACAGACACUGCAGUUUGAUACUUCAAUUUGCUUGAGAAGGUAAGCAUGUUCUUGAAUCCUUAUUUACUUCUAAUAUUCAUCUAUAUGUAUGUUAAAAUUUUGUCAGCCAUUCUAAACUAUGCAUAUCAUCAAUUUUAAAUAAGGAAAAUAGAUUACUAAUUGUUUCACGCGUAGCUCUCGUUCACUGUACAUGGACUAGUUUCUUCUCUAUUGCUGCGUCGGCGUGAUACUUUAUUGUAAUUUUUAUGACGUUACUAUCAAAAUAUUGUGACAGGCAUAUAAUUGAUGGAUGCUAUGAGUAGUGAUUCGGAAUGGGAGACUUCCAGUGACAGCAGCAGUAGUGAGGAUCAAGAAGAAAUUGAUUUUCAAUAUGGUGGUCAAGCUCAGAACAUAUUAUCAAGUUUAGAGGAAAGCAUUGGGAAGAUUGAUGAUUUUCUCUCAUUUGAGAGAACUUUUGUUCAUGGUGAUGUGGUCUGCUCCGUGUCAGAUCCAACUGGACAGAUGGGAAGGGUGACAAGUGUUGAUUUGUUUGUGGACUUGGAGAAUGAGAAAGGAAAGUUACUAAAAAAUGUAAACUCGGACAAACUUUCGAAGAUUCGGUCCAUUUCAGAAGGCGAUUAUGUAACUAAGGGGCCAUGGCUCGGUCGGGCUCAAAGGGUUGUGGACAAAGUUACUGUAUUGUUUGACGAUGGAGCUAAAUCUGACAUCAUUGCCUUAGAAAGAGAAAAGGUUUUACCAUUGACUCGUAAAUUUCCAGAAGAUUCACAGUGUCCAUACUAUCCAGGGCAGAGAGUAAAGGUUAAGUCCUCCAACGCUUCUAAAUCAGCAGGAUGGCUAUGUGGAACUUGGAGAGACAAUCAAGAUGAAGGAACUGUUUGUGCUGUUGAUGCAAGUUUGGUGUGUGUUAACUGGCUCGCUUCUGUUCUUUCGGGUAGCAAUUUGGCUGUGGAUGCUCCACCAGGCUGGCAAGAUUCCAAAAACCUGACCGUGUUGUCGUGCUUUUCAUACACAAACUGGCAGCUUGGUGACUGGUGCAUGGUUGCAGACCAAGAGGAACAGACUGUUCAACAUGCACCCACAGGAAGUCUUACCAUGGAGCAUAGUAUGACAAGAGGGUGUAAGAGUCAGGGAAGAAACCUUAUUAACUCUUGUAUUGGGGAAUUUUUUAUAAUUGGGAAGAUAAAGACCAAAGUUGACAUUUUGUGGCAAAAUGGUGAACAUAGUUUGGGAUUAGAUCCAGAGAGUUUACUCCCGGUGAAUGUUAUAAACACACAUGAAUUUUGGCCUCAUCAGUUUGUGCUGGAAAAAGGUGUUUCUUACGAUCCACUUAAGCCUAGCAGUAAAAGAUGGGGUGUUGUCCAAUGUGUGGAUGCGAAGGAGCAUACUGUAAAGGUACAAUGGAAAACUGUUUCCAUGUCCAAACCGAAUAGUUUGGAUGGAGACAAAAUGGAGGAAACUGUGAGUGCCUACGAACUAGUUGAGCACCCAGAUUACUCCUGUUUUUAUGGUGAUAUUAUGUUCAAGGCGGCUCAAAAACAAUUUGGUUACCAAGCUGAUAAAGAAACAGAAAAGUCGGGUAAUGACAUGAAUGCAGAGGCUGCUCUUAAAAAUGGGAACCAAAUGAAUUAUCAAGAUGACUUCCCUGAUGACUGUUACCUGCGCUGUGUUGGCACUGUUAUUGGUUUCAAAGAUGGUGAUGUGGAGGUGAAAUUGGCUACUGGUUUCACAACCAAGGUAUGCCAUGAUUUUCUGUAAAUAUAGUGUAGUUACGUAAAUAUGUGUCCACUUAUAGUCAAAGUAUGGAUUUAAUUUUUUUUUACAAGAGUAAAGUAUGGAUUUGAUGGUAAUGGUAACAUAAUAUUAGAACCAUGGAACUUGCAUUGCUUAUCAUACAUUCAUAUUGAAUGAUCCUACUGAACUGGGAUUGCACCAAUGUUGUCUUAUUUCUAUUGUGUGUUUCUGCAUUAAUUUGUAUCUUUUCAUGUGAAGUAAUGUAUGAAUGAUAUUUUUUUCCCAACAGGUUGCGCCUUAUGAAAUUUUUCGGAUCGAUAAACACGAAGGCACAACUGUAACCCCUGCUCCUCAAGAGAUGAUUGAACGCGGAAGUCAACCUUCUGACAAGAAGGGAAAGGUGAGAGCAAUAUCUUUUCCGUUUGUUCUGCAUCUCAGUGUACAUUCAUAUGUGAUAUGUGUGUAUACUUGUAUAUUAUCUACCUGCUAUAUGUCAGACACAGAAGUCUCAGCUUGGAAACUAUAAUCAAAAGACAGGUUAAAUGUAUAGAGAAAAUGUACUAAUAUAUAGGAUUUUUCAAAUUCAUUUUCAAUUUUGAAUGUAGAAAUUAUCAGCGUUCUUAUCACCCUAAGUCAUGUUUUUCAAAGAUUAAUUUCUGACUAGAGCUUACCAAAUGCAUCUGCCCAGUAUAAACUGAACGUGAUGUUUAAUUUUCAGGACUUGUUAAAUGGUGAUGGUAGAAAAGAGAAUUAUGAACAGAAUCUUGAGUGUAGUUCCUUUUUCCUUCCACGAGUGGCCUUUGAACUUUUCUCCAGUGUUAAAUCCAGCAUAUUCCAAACACUUGGUGGAACUUCCAUUUCAGGAGCAUUUUCCUCAUUGCCUACAUUUGAAAAGGAUAAUGAAUCAGAUUAUCCUGAUAAGAAAGAUUUGGAAACUUGUAAUUUCUGCAUUGAACCACAUCCAACGGAUGAGUUGCAAUCUACUGAAGACAGAACUUCACAUCCAGAAGUUAUUAGGAUCCAUGACAAGAAUGAUUUUUCGCUUUCUUUAGAAAGCAACAAUUCAAACCAGUUUAAGCAGUUUGAUGUUAUAGAAAAUUGUUCUGAGGACCACCAUUUUUUUGAUGAGGGAAGAGGAUUGUCAACAUUGCAGGUUAGAAAUCGAUCCUAUAGUGUGACAUACUACGUUGAUAUAUUGAUAGGCUAACGAUUUUCUUUGCUUUAUAGGUAAAAAAAGGUUGGGUGAAAAAGGUUCAGCAAGAAUGGAGCAUCCUUGAGAAAAGUCUUCCUGGUACAUACUUUAUCUUUCUUUCUUUUUUAUUAAUCACCCUGUUUUAUAUACUUAUUUCUCCAUAAGAAGCCUUUCUGUCGCAGUCGUUAUUGUUAUAUGAUGCUUAAACUCGAAUUAGGAAGUUAAAUGAGUCACCGUCACCGGAGACACUGGUCUCUUAGCCAUUUUAAAAAGGAAAUCCAUUUUGAGUGACAAAAUAUAUAUGGCAAGAUGGCAUGGUAUAUGUUGUUAUAUUUUUUAUCCAUAGCCACAGCAGGACCUCAAAGAAGUUUAAUUGAUGUAGAAUGUAUGCAUGUUUGUACUGAGAGACCUCAAAGAUUUUAUCUGGAAACAAUCUUUAAAUAAGUAACCUGAGUGUUAAUUAUUUGAUAUACUAAUGAAAAUGGAAUUUGUUAAAGGGAAAAUGCUUGUUGGCACGAUGCACAACAAGCACGACCACCACACGACUGUUUGAAGCCGUUAGAUGACUCAUAUAAGCUUUUUUUUUUCCUUUUUUUACUUAUUGUAAAACUUCCGCUUAUUUCUGCCAUCACAUUAAUAUGCAUGUCGUCGAAUUUCGUGUGGUUUAUAUGUCGUGCUGUAUAGCACUUCCCUUUUUUAAAGUAAGCUUUAAAUGUUCAUAACAAUUUCUAUAAAUGCACUUACAAUCUCUAUUGACCCAAACAGACUCUAUUUAUGUUCGUGUGUUUGAAGAAAGAAUGGAUCUCAUGCGAGCAGUAAUUGUUGGUGCAUCUGGAACUCCGUAUCAUGACGGGUUGUUCUUCUUUGAUAUAUGUUUCCCUCCAGAGUAUC
rnacentral:lncRNA from 1 species